GAUGAAGAACGUAGCGAAAUGCGAUAAGUAGUGUGAAUUGCAGAAUUCAGUGAAUCAUCGAAUCUUUGAACGCACAUUGCGCCCUUUGGUAUUCCUUAGGGCAUGCCUGUUCGAGCGUCAUUUCAACCCUCGAGCCCCCCCGGGGGCCUCGGUGUUGGGGGACGGCACACCAGCCGCCCCCGAAAUGCAGUGGCGACCCCGCCGCAGCCUCCCCUGCGUAGUAGCACACACCUCGCACCGGAGCGCGGAGGCGGUCACGCCGUAAAACGCCCAACUUUCUUAGAGUUGACCUCGGAUCAGGUAGGAAUACCCGCUGAACUUAAGCAUAUCAAUAAGCGGAGGA
rnacentral:misc_RNA from 1 species